UGAAAUUGAUCUCCCCGUGCAGAAGCGGGGAUAAUACCAUAAGACGAGAAGACCCUAUGGAGCUUUAGACGUCAGAGCAGCCCAUGUAAAGCACCCCUUAACAAAGGAAAAAACCAAAUGAAGCCUGCCCUAAUGUCUUUGGUUGGGGCGACCGCGGGGAAAUACAAAACCCCCAUGUGGAGUAGGAAUACACAUUCCUAAACCCAAGAGCUCCCGCUCUAAUGAACAGAAAUUCUGACCAAUAAGAUCCGGCACACGCCGAUCAACGGACCGAGUUACCCUAGGGAUAACAGCGCAAUCCCCUUAAAGAGCCCUUAUCGACAAGGGGGUUUACGACCUCGAUGUUGGAUCAGGACAUCCUAAUGGUGCAGCCGCUAUUAAGGGUUCGUUUGUUCAACGAUUAAAGU
rnacentral:rRNA from 1 species